rnacentral:rRNA from 1 species
AUGAACGCUAGCUACAGGCUUAACACAUGCAAGUCGAGGGGCAGCAUGAACUUAGCUUGCUAAGUUUGAUGGCGACCGGCGCACGGGUGAGUAACACGUAUCCAACCUGCCGAUGACUCGGGGAUAGCCUUUCGAAAGAAAGAUUAAUACCCGAUGGCAUAGUUCUUCCGCAUGGUAGAACUAUUAAAGAAUUUCGGUCAUCGAUGGGGAUGCGUUCCAUUAGGUUGUUGGCGGGGUAACGGCCCACCAAGCCUUCGAUGGAUAGGGGUUCUGAGAGGAAGGUCCCCCACAUUGGAACUGAGACACGGUCCAAACUCCUACGGGAGGCAGCAGUGAGGAAUAUUGGUCAAUGGACGAGAGUCUGAACCAGCCAAGUAGCGUGAAGGAUGACUGCCCUAUGGGUUGUAAACUUCUUUUAUACGGGAAUAAAGUGAGGCACGUGUGCUUUUUUGUAUGUACCGUAUGAAUAAGGAUCGGCUAACUCCGUGCCAGCAGCCGCGGUAAUACGGAGGAUCCGAGCGUUAUCCGGAUUUAUUGGGUUUAAAGGGAGCGUAGGCGGACGCUUAAGUCAGUUGUGAAAGUUUGCGGCUCAACCGUAAAAUUGCAGUUGAUACUGGGUGUCUUGAGUACAGUAGAGGCAGGCGGAAUUCGUGGUGUAGCGGUGAAAUGCUUAGAUAUCACGAAGAACUCCGAUUGCGAAGGCAGCCUGCUGGACUGUAACUGACGCUGAUGCUCGAAAGUGUGGGUAUCAAACAGGAUUAGAUACCCUGGUAGUCCACACAGUAAACGAUGAAUACUCGCUGUUUGCGAUAUACAGUAAGCGGCCAAGCGAAAGCGUUAAGUAUUCCACCUGGGGAGUACGCCGGCAACGGUGAAACUCAAAGGAAUUGACGGGGGCCCGCACAAGCGGUGGAGCAUGUGGUUUAAUUCGAAGCAACGCGAAGAACCUUACCAGGUCUUGACAUCCCGAUGCUAUUCCUAGAGAUAGGAAGUUUCUUCGGAACAUCGGUGACAGGUGGUGCAUGGUUGUCGUCAGCUCGUGCCGUGAGGUGUCGGCUUAAGUGCCAUAACGAGCGCAACCCUUAUCGAUAGUUACCAUCAGGUUAUGCUGGGGACUCUGUCGAGACUGCCGUCGUAAGAUGUGAGGAAGGUGGGGAUGACGUCAAAUCAGCACGGCCCUUACGUCCGGGGCUACACACGUGUUACAAUGGGGGGUACAGAAGGCAGCUACACGGCGACGUGAUGCUAAUCCCUAAAGCCUCUCUCAGUUCGGAUUGGAGUCUGCAACCCGACUCCAUGAAGCUGGAUUCGCUAGUAAUCGCGCAUCAGCCACGGCGCGGUGAAUACGUUCCCGGGCCUUGUACACACCGCCCGUCAAGCCAUGAAAGCCGGGGGUACCUGAAGUGCGUAACCGCAAGGAGCGCCCUAGGGUAAAACUGGUGAUUGGGGCU